rnacentral:rRNA from 1 species
UACGUAGGGGGCAAGCGUUGUCCGGAUUUAUUGGGCGUAAAGAGCGUGUAGGCGGCUAUACAGGUCCGCUGUGAAAACUCGAGGCUCAACCUCGAGACGUCGGUGGAAACCGUAUGGCUAGAGUCCGGAAGAGGAGAGUGGGAAUUCCUGGUGUAGCGGUGAAAUGCGCAGAUAUCAGGAAGAACACCCGUGGCGAAGGCGGCUCUCUGGGACGGUACUGACGCUGAGACGCGAAAGCGUGGGGAGCGAACAGG